ensembl:lncRNA
GACACAAUAAAUGAUUAUUAUAACAUCGCUUCGGGGAAAGGAAACAAGGAAGACUUCGAGGUUCCAAUUCUUCACAGAUGCCUUAGUCAUGUUAUGAAGAAUGCUAAGGAGAUCUGUAAAAAGUAUGCACCAAAGAACUACCAUCUUGCAAUGCACACUUUUGGAGUGUUCACUACUGCGACUUCAUUGAAAGACCUCACUGACAUGGUGCAAAGUGCAGCAGUUGUUUUUGGGAGUCCAUGUAGUGGUGAGAAUGUCGAAAAACAUUUUCACAACCUUCAGUUGUUCAUGCAGAAAGCCAAUGUUGAUGUUGAUGGCAAUGCCAGAAACUCAAAAGCUGAUGAGGACCUGAAGGGAGUCAAGGGAAACAACCUCUUUGGGAGACAUUUUAAGAAGCUCAUUUCCAACACAUCAUUGGAGAUGGAUGGUGAGGCAAAC